rnacentral:rRNA from 1 species
GGCACUGCCCGGUAGCUAAAUGCGGAAGAGAUAAGUGCUGAAAGCAUCUAAGCACGAAACUUGCCCCGAGAUGAGUUCUCCCUGAGACUUUAAGUCUCCUGAAGGAACGUUGAAGACGACGACGUUGAUAGGCCGGGUGUGUAAGCGCAGCGAUGCGUUGAGCUAACCGGUACUAAUGAACCGUGAGGCUUAACCUUACAACGCCGAAG